GAGCUUUUUCUAAAGAGAUUUUGAUUCAUUCCCAUUGACACAACUUCAAAAUUCAAUGUAUCACACAAGGAACAACCCCACAACUGUCCCUGAAACACCUCACUAGUUAUACAUCCUAUUUUUAUCAUAGCAUCUUUCCUCCGGAUGCAAAACUUGAAAGCACAAAAAGUUUCCUUUCCACUUAGUCACAAAGGCUGUCCCAUCUUUUCCUUUGGACGCGACCCAAAAAGCUCAGUCAAAAGCUCUAAGAAAAAGUGAAACAGUCCUUAACUAAAUAGAUGAAUACAUUAGAGGACUUCUUGGGAGUUCUGGGAUUUGAUAUUUAUGAGGCUCUUUGAAUUAUGAAGUCCAAACACCCAAAGUGAAAACUCAAAGGCUCCAAGAAUCACAGCUCAUAAGAGUAUGAGCUAAUGGCUCAAUUUUCAGCAAACGUAUAGAAUGUUGAUGGUUUGACUUCCAAAGGAUUCACACAGAAGGUGAAAGGGACGCCACCCAAAUGGUUGUAAACAACUGGGUCAAGGACUUUCGAUUUUCGAUGUCAAGGUGUAACCUGGUUAAAGAUGUUAUACUUUGUUAUACAAUUAUGUUAAGAUAAAGGUGUGUAACUUCGUUAAAAACCUACAUGAUAGAUAGAUAGGGUUAAAAAGGUACAUGAUAAAUAAAUAAUAAAUGGUUAAAACGUUUCAUAAAGAGUGAAAAGGGCACAAUGUAAUACAAACGUUUCAAACGAUACAAAUAUAAAGUUAUGAAUCGCUUGUUUUAUUGUGAAAUAUUCCUUGCGGUCAGAGGAAGUAGAUUGGAGUUUUAUUGUGAAGGACCGAUUGCAGUGAGCGGAAGUAGAGGGGGUGACGGCGACGCUUGACUGACGUCACAGCGGAAAAGAGUCUGGGGAAAAGUUUGUGCAAACAAAUGUGUUAUUGAUGUCCUAAGAUUAUCCACUCGAGAGUCUUAAUCAGGAUAUUGCCUCUACAUACUCGUUAUGGGCAACUGGAGGCAUUUGUAUCCGAAGUUAACCAUACCGUUGUUCACGUGCUUGUAUUAGCUUCACCUGUGUAUUAGCUCAUUAGCUUAUAGGUGUUUAUUAUUAUUAGCAUUCAUUAGCAAAGUGAACGGCCACUUAGCCACUGCACAGCUAACCUAGCUUGCGCCGGGGGCUGUAGCGCGUCGUUUUCGACGUGGAAACCUUCAGGAUUUGUGACACUUGCAGCAGCUGUCCAGGUAACACUCAGGGUUCCGUCCACUUCGCGGGAGAGACCACACGUCAUCAGCUGCGGAGGCCACCUCUCCAUCUCUGGACACCUGCUCGCCCCCCGUUCUUCAUCCCAUGCAGAGAGAGACUGGCUAAAGGUCGGACUCAGAAGUGAACCAAGGUGGUGGUCUGCGUGUGUCCAGUGAGUCGGUGGCCUGGUGUGGAUCAGGCCCGUUGCGCCUGUGUGUGUCCCUGCCACGGAACCCCUCUCGGUGGGCCGACGUGAUGGAUGAUGCCUGGAAGCUCCGGGGCUGCAGUGUGUUCAUGCUUGUUUUUCCAGUGGAAUGCCGGAGUCUGACCCCAGACAGGAACCAGAGGAGGACGUGUGUCUGCUCAAACAUCAUCACAGACAAAACAUCACCCGCAGCCAAAAGUUUGGAUUUUACUUGUCACUUCACAGAGGCACAUAAAUCCCGCUUUUGAUUUUGGCUGUCUCUGUUAACACAGCUUGUCAGUCGAGAUAAAGGUGCCUCAACACCGUCAGUCACAAUAAGCUAUCAUUACCCUGCAGUAAGUCAUUCAUUAUCCAUCUGGAGGAGAGGGUGAUUUGACAAAGUGAAGUAAACACCACCAAACUGUGAACUAAGUUAGCAAGACAUUUUUAAGCGUAGUGUAACAUAAGUUCUUUUGUUUAGAUUUUUUAUGCCAUAUACUCAUUCCAUACUUCAACCAGAGACAUUAAACACCUAAUGUGAAAAGAUAAGGCCGCAGUUUAGUUAAAUUAACUCUGGUUGAAUAUAAAUAACAUCAUACCUACACAACAAGCUGUGAUCAACUUCCCUUUGACUCCAAAUACAUUACUGCGUGCUUAUAAAAUGUUUGACAGAUGCACAUAUAUUAACACAGGCAAAUGGUUUGUAUGGGUUUGUGUGCCCCCGUAAGCCGUUGAAGCAGCUGCCUUCUCUUCUCUGACAGGUCUUUGAAGUUUCGUCAUCGACUCAGACACGAGCGUGCCGCUGAGCUGAUGGCGCGGUGGCUGAACUUUAAAGUUGCAAAUCGGGCUGAGCUCUUAAAAGCCGACGGGAUGCUGGAUGAAUUAGGUGAUAUCUAAACAACCGGAUCCGUAGCGUGGGCACGAAGUGUAGUAUAAAUCAGCAAUCCCUCCACUCCCCCCAGAUAUCAAACCCUCGCAGCCGUGUGUGUCCUGCCUGUACAGUUCCAUUUGGGGGAUCUGGAAAAGAUUAGAGCUUGAGCACUAACAAUGCCAUGGGAUGGUUUAUGAGGGGUUGAACAUUAUCAGGCACGGUGUGUUAGACAACAGGAAAGAACAUCACAACCCAUUACUCAGCGUACGCAUGAAACACUCACGGGACAUAAAUAAGAGUAAGAGGUCGGUCCACAGGCGACCAACUCAGAUAUUGCAACACGGCAAUCUGCGAAACUAUCUGGGCCUAUUGCAACCAGAAAGAUAGUCUUUAGUGGUUUAAGCCAAAUAAUAUUUAAACUUAUGAAAAGAAAAUGUGCUCUUGCUCUUUUGGGAAUUUCUGUUUAAAAACCAUAAUUCCCUUAUAGCUGCCCUGAUCAAUAUCUUCAUUUUCUAUUGAAGAAUUACAGUCGUGGGAAAGGAGUUACAGUUAAUGAUGAACACUGUUUUUCUUCAGCGAGUUAUUAAACUUUUGGCCUGUAGCUUUACUGUUCUGACUUAAUUAUCAAACAAUUAUCGUGCAAUUAUAGUGCAAUUAUAAACCUGUUUAUAUUUAUCAGACAACCAGAAACAAGACUGCAGGUUAACCCUAAUGUUACUGCAACUGUUUUCAAGUACAUAUCAACUUUAAAAGUGAUGAUGUGUCAGAGUUGUGUUUAUACCUUAAAAAAAAUAAAUCAGUUACUGCAGGUUUAAAGAUAUUAAUUCACUUUGUACACUUCUAAUGAUAAUGUCCAGUCACAAAGAGUUAAACACCCAAAAUACAACAAACAAACAAACAAACAAACAAAAAAAAAUGUAUACAUAUUGUCAUUUAUCUCUCAUGGCAUUCAGCCAUGCAGAUAGUGUUGCUUUUAUUUUGUGGCACUAAAAUCUAUGCAAAAUUUCAACAACAACAACAAAUACAUGAUUCUCUUUCCAUAGACGGUGCCCUAGUUAACUCUGGAUAACCCAUUGUGCCCAUUGUAUCUGGACUGAAACUUGAUUCUCUUCCAUUAUAUUGAGGUGGAGGCAGAAUUCUACCACACAGAUAUCCCAUAACCUGGACAAAUAAAAAGAUGUGUGGAGGGUUUUCUACAGCUACGGCAGAGUACUCGGUCUCGGACAUGUUGGGAGCCUCGAUGAGACGCGCUAAGCCCGUCCUCGUUGAGUAUUUGAAGAUGAAGGCCUUCAUGAGGUCAUAGCGGUAGUUUCU